rnacentral:rRNA from 1 species
AUUGAACGCUGGCGGCAUGCCUUACACAUGCAAGUCGAACGUGAAAAGGGGGGCGAACUCCCGACGUAGAGUGGCGGGACGGGUGGAGCAACACAUCGGAACGUACCCACUAGUGGGGGACGAACCUCGAGAAAUCGAGGCUAAUACCGCAUACGACCCACGGGUGGAAAGACGGGGGACCGGCAAGGCCUCGCGCUAUUGGAGCGGCCGAUGUCCGAUUAGCUUGUUGGGUGGGGUAACGGCCUACCAAGGCAUCGACGGGUAGCUGGUCUGAGAGGACGACCAGCCACACUGGGACUGAGACACGGCCCAGACUCCUACGGGAGGCAGCAGUAGGGAAUCUUGCGCAAUGGGCGAAAGCCUGACGCAGCAACGCCGCGU